UGUCGAAUGAUGUCAUCCAAUCCAAUAAAACAAGGAAAAUCUGAGGGUUAACUAGUGAUGUCACAGUUAAUUUAGGGCAUUGUCGUUCAUAAUUCAAUGAAGUAGUAACCGGAAAUCGAGUUAUUUGCAUACAUGUCAUGUGUGGAGAAAAAGCCUCUAGCUAUCUCAUCCAUCAUCUUAUUUCUCACAUUCGUUUUAGAAUCUAUCUAGUUUUUCAUACUUGUUUGUUUGUUACAACUUCAUCCAAAUCAAAACCCCCUUUUAGUUUCUUGUUUCAAAGUGUUUCAAAUCUGUUUUAGUUUGUGUUUUUAAGUGUUUUGAUUCAAGUAAAAGUCAAUUUUCGUCCAAAGUCAUUCCUAGUGUCUAGUUUAAGUCUUCUGAGUCUUGUUAAGUGUUUUUAAGUUUAGUUUUAUGUUUUUGAGUCAGUUUGGAGGUUAUUAGCA
rnacentral:lncRNA from 1 species